AUUGAACGCUGGCGGCAUGCCUUACACAUGCAAGUCGAACGGCAGCACGGGUGCUUGCACCUGGUGGCGAGUGGCGAACGGGUGAGUAAUACAUCGGAACAUGUCCUGUAGUGGGGGAUAGCCCGGCGAAAGCCGGAUUAAUACCGCAUACGAUCUACGGAUGAAAGCGGGAGACCUUCGGGCCUCGCGCUAUAGGGUUGGCCGAUGGCUGAUUAGCUAGUUGGUGGGGUAAAGGCCUACCAAGGCGACGAUCAGUAGCUGGUCUGAGAGGACGACCAGCCACACUGGGACUGAGACACGGCCCAGACUCCUACGGGAGGCAGCAGUGGGGAAUUUUGGACAAUGGGCGAAAGCCUGAUCCAGCAAUGCCGCGUGUGUGAAGAAGGCCUUCGGGUUGUAAAGCACUUUUGUCCGGAAAGAAAUCCUUGGCCCUAAUACGGUCGGGGGAUGACGGUACCGGAAGAAUAAGCACCGGCUAACUACGUG
rnacentral:rRNA from 1 species